UACGUAGGGGGCAAGCGUUGUCCGGAUUUAUUGGGCGUAAAGAGCGUGUAGGCGGCUUGGAAGGUCCGUUGUGAAAACUCGAGGCUCAACCUCGAGACGCCGAUGGGAACCACCUAGCUAGAGUCCGGAAGAGGAGAGUGGAAUUCCUGGUGUAGCGGUGAAAUGCGCAGAUAUCAGGAAGAACACCCGUGGCUAAGGCGGCUCUCUAGUACGGUACUGACGCUGAGACGCGAAAGCGUGGGGAGCGAACAGG
rnacentral:rRNA from 1 species